UGAACUCCUUGAAAAAAGUGUCAGGGCACUGAACCUCAACACUGGCCGGUAUGAUGAACUAAUUGACAAGAAAUACAAAUACAAAGACGCAAUUGCAAAGUGAGUGAGGACAAGAAUCAUUAUGAUCCCUUUCAUUUUGGUUAGCAUAGUAGAUAUUACUUGGUGUUAACAAAAAAAUGUUGUUCAUAUGUUCAUGCUUUGUGCAGAUUUGCCCAAAAACUGUCACGUGAAAAGAAAAGACGAGCAAAGAAUGAAGCUGCAACAUGGAAAUUGGUCGUUCUCUUUUCGACAUUCAUCCUAAUUUGUGGUGUUAUAUUAAAGUGCUUGAAGAUAGCAGCAAUGGAGUCUUGAAGACUCGUCUAUUUACCAAGAAUGAGAGAGAAAAUUUCAUCUUGGAACAAAAACUAAAAUAAAAAUGUAUGCCUACUAGUAAAUAAAUUCAGCCAUUUAAGGACUCGCUGAACAAACUUGGUUUCCGUUCUUGCAUGCAUGCCUGCCUGCCCUGCUCAGACUUGGUGUAGGUUUCUCUUAAACGUUUGUAAUGUGUUGUUAAUUCUCUUGUCUACAAGAAAGUGUGUGUGUAUAUAUAUAUAUACAGGCCCUUUGAAGGCUUCCUAUAUAUAUAUAUAUGUAUGUAUGUAUGUAUGUGGAAUAAAAGGAGCAUGUUUCCUCUGGUUCUUGAUAUGCAUAAUUCGUGAUAGACAUCAUUGGUCUGUUAAUUAGAUCUAGUGCAAUAACAUCAAAUAAACAGAAUCAAAUUCCCAUUGAAAGAAACUCGUGAUUUGAAAUUCUAUCAUUUAGAAAACUAAUAUCGAAAUCAUACACAUUUCCUAUUAACUAGUGCAAUAACGUCAAAUAACCAGAAUCAAAUCUCCAUUGAAAGAACCAGAAAGCUCGAAGAAAGAAACCAAACCUUGGAGACAUUGGGCUGACCAGGAUGCAAAACGUCGAUGACCUGUAUCAACCCAAAAAGCACACAGCAAAAUCAACCAAAUAGGUAAAUAAAUACACAUCAGGGUGAUAAAUUCAAGCUCAGAGUUAAAAGUUAGGGCUUCCACUUUCCAAAUCAGGAAGAAACAAUAGAAAAAACACUACCUCACAAGUGAACUUGUAUCGUAAUUGAAGAGCUGAUACAAAGGCCAUAUUGUCUCUUAAAACAAACUUAAUUGUGGGACCAUGAUGUGGAUGCGAAUUUCUUCCUCCUUGAUAUUGGACAAAAU
rnacentral:lncRNA from 1 species